UCCGCGUCCCGCAGCAGCCCCGCGGCCGGCCGGCCUCGAGCCGCCGAACCGCUGCUAUGGCGACUCAAGUGCUGGGACAGUCCGGUGGGAACGGGCUCUUUCCCGGCGGCGCUAACAUCGGCAUGGCGUUGUCCAACGACAUGUAUGACUUGCACGACCUUUCCAAAGCCGAGCUGGCGGCCCCGCAGCUGAUCAUGUUGGCCAACGUGGCCCUGACGGGAGAGGUGAAUGGCAACUGCUGCGAUUAUCUGGUGGGAGAGGAGAGGCAGAUGGCCGAGCUGACCACGGUGGGUGACGGCAACUUCUCAGACAGCGACGCGGAGGGCGUGGAGGAUAGCCGUGCUGCAGAGAGCGACCGUGGCGCCUCGGAAAAUGUGGAAUUGAGCUCUCUGGAAGCACCCGACGUGGAAACCCAAGGCCCGGACGCUUGUCCAGAGACUCCCAGCACGGACAAAGAUGUCCCAUUGGAAGCUCCAGGCACUCCAGAAAGCUCUGAGGACAAGUGUAAGAGCCUCAAGAACAAACCAUUCCGUUGCAAGCCUUGCCAUUACGAGGCCGAGUCUGAAGAGGAAUUUGUGCACCACAUCAGAGUUCACAGUGCUAAGAAGUUUUUCGUGGAAGAAAAUGCAGAGAAACAAGUGCAGAUCAAGGAGUCUGAUUCCUACAGCACGGAAGAAGUGGACUUCUCCAAGGGUCCGAUCCGCUGCGAUCGCUGCGGCUACAACACUAACAGAUAUGAUCACUACCUGGCUCACCUGAAGCACCACAACAAAGCGGGAGAAAACGAGAGAGUGUACAAGUGUACCAUAUGCACUUACACCACCGUCAGUGAGUAUCACUGGAAGAAACACCUGAGAAACCAUUUUCCCAGGAAAGUAUACACCUGCUCGCAGUGCUCCUAUUUUUCAGACAGGAAAAACAACUAUAUUCAGCAUAUUAGAACUCAUACGGGAGAGCGACCCUAUCAGUGUGCUAUGUGUCCCUAUUCCAGCUCUCAGAAGACACAUUUAACCAGGCACAUGCGCACCCACUCAGGUGAGAAGCCAUUCAAAUGUGAUCAGUGCAGUUACGUGGCCUCAAACCAGCAUGAAGUAACUCGUCAUGCAAGGCAAGUUCACAAUGGGCCGAAGCCUCUGACUUGCCCGCACUGUGACUACAAAACAGCGGAUCGCAGCAAUUUCAAAAAGCACGUUGAGCUUCACGUCAAUCCGCGCCAGUUUCUUUGUCCUGUUUGUGACUACGCGGCAUCUAAGAAGUGUAACCUGCAGUAUCACAUCAAAUCCAGGCAUCCCGAUUGUUCAGACAUCACCAUGGAUGUUUCAAAGGUGAAGCUACGGACUAAAAAGAGCGAAGCUGACUUUUCUGAGAGCAUCGGUGACAAAGUGGAGAAGGAGCAAACAAAAGGGGAUUCGCCCACAAAGAAAACUGAGAAAACUGUGAAAGUGGAGAAGAAAGAGAACUUAGCAAAGGAAAAGAAGCCAAUGAACAAUGCUCCCGCACGCCAAGUGACGACCAGAAGUCGGAAAUCGACUUCAGAAAACAAGGAGGUAGAUAUUAAAACUGAGAAAAAUACUGAGAAACCGUGUAAAACAAAGAAGGUGAAAAGAAAGGCAGAGGCAGAAAUAACUUUCUCAAAGCAAGAGCCUGCGAAUGAUACUAUCGUAAUGACAAAAAAGAAAAAGAAAGUGGAAACUAAGCCCAGAGACUGCCAGGAAGCUCAGAAAAGUGAUGAUGUACCAGAGGCGGAACCUAAAAAGCAACAUUCUUGCCUUAAGAAAAGCAGAAAAAAGAAAGCUCUGAAAAGUAAGCACAGUAAGAAAAGCAAUAGACUUGAUGAGGAGAAGAUGGAAGAAGAGGAGGUGGCGGACAAGUCUCAACUUCCAGAAGAAGACAGAUGUGUGAAACUCGACAGUCCGAGCAGCGACCAGGAGAAGGAGGAAGAUCCUGCUGAUCCAGCACCAUUAGACAGUAAUGUUGGUCAUACUUGCAAGGGAGAGAACAUCAUUGCCAAAGAAAGCUGCGUACAAGAACCGAGACAGCUGUGUCUGUCAGCUCAGGUUGCGGACACAGAGGCUGAGGAGAAGGAUCAGGAAAUGCCUGCUGCAGCAGUGGAGAGCAAAGACACUAUCUGUGAAAAAGAGGAGAGAAAGAUGGACACGGGGGAAGACUCUGAAGAAUCUUCUCAUGCAGUGUCUUCUGAACAAAGUCUGGACGGACCCGCGGAUGUAUUACCAGAUCUGGAGCCCAGGAAGGAGCCAGAGGAAACCUGCUUGGCAGAAACUGUGAGUAACCCAGACCCGAUAGACCUGACUAAGACACGCAUCCUAGAGACAGAGCCACCAGCAGAUGCUGUGGGAGCGCCUGUGCCCCCAGAAGGGCAUGUGCAGAGCCCUGAAGUAGCUCUGGCCUUAUCACCUCUGGAUAACGCGGCAGUGAACGAAUCUCAGGAAAUGGAUGAGGAUGAGGGCAUCCACAGCCAUGAGGGCAGCGACAUAAGCGACAACAUAUCAGAAGGCAGCGAUGAUUCGGGGUUAAACGGUGCUCGCUCUGUACAAGAGGAGACCAGUCCGAAGACCUCACAAGGAGCUGCCAGUAGCACAGCAGUCAGGGAGAACUAUGUAUGCAUUUUUUGUGACCGCUCAUUUAAAAAGGAAGGUGAAUACAGCAAGCACCUCAAUCGCCACUUGGUCAAUGUGUAUUAUCUGGAGAAGGCGACAAAAGGGCAGGAGUAGAAACAGCUGCGGUCUGGGAGCACGUGUAUCUUUUGUAAGAUCUUAUACAGCUUAUGUACAGAUAUUGUAGAUUCUUUUUUUUUAAGCAUGGUUUUCUUUAGUGUCUGCAUUGGGAUUUUUUUUUUUUUUUUUUUUUUUAAGCUGAAAAUAUUUUGGACAAGUUUUCGUGUAAUGACCUCUUUAAAUAUUGGAUCUCUUCAUUAAAGAAGUAGGUAGGGUGUAUGAGGCUGUGUCCUGUAAGUUCUGUCUGUUUAUAGUUUGUUAGCUGAUGCAUUUGUUUUAUAAGUUGAGCUUUAGGAACAAGGCUUGUAGCUACCAUACACAAGUUGGAUGUUUAUAGAGCCACUGGCAGUUGCUUUUUCUUUUAGCAGCCAACUCCUCUUUCCCCUCUCCUCUGCUUUUGUUUUAGUUCUUCUUAACGUACCUUGAUGUUCAAAGUGGUAAAAACUACUCAAUGCUUUUUCUACCAGGAAGAUAGCUUCUGUCACAUAAAAGAGCACUUUGUAAGACAAAUCGAAGUUGGCUAGCGAUGAACGUAACUGUUUAAGAACUGAGUAGAGAAGAAGAAGCGCAUGGCUAUGUAGUACCUUGCAGGCCAGCAGCAAGACAAUGCUAUGACUCUUUUGGAUUCAAGGCAGGCAGCUGAACCAUUCCCUUGCCCACAGGUUGGUGGAAGGGGCCGCAUGAACCCUUUUUAGUGUCCUUUAGCACAGUUCAGGGCAGUACACUCCAAUGGCUGCUGCCUGCAGCAGGGGCUGUGUUGGAGGUGAAGGGAUAGAUGAGUUGUGUAUGUGAUUGGGUUUCCAUCACAAAGAGCUGAAGGAGAGCUGGGGCAAAAAGAGGAAAGGUGGUGAGCAAUCUCAGGGUGACGAUGGGCAGGGAUGUGGGCAAUGCCCUGGGUGGGUGACCAGGCAGCCAGGACCACCUCCAGAGGUGCAGGCACAGAUACCUGCAGCCUUAAAUGGGAAAUCAGAAGGUGAACAGCCUAGAGGUACAUAGAUUUCAGGAGCACAAGUUUUCAGCAUAGCAUAUGCUUGAGUGGGUAAGAAGCAGAAGCUUGAAACUUGUGGCCCAGUGCACCACUCUUGCAUUACAGGCCAUUUUGGGAGCACUAACAAUGGGUAAAAGUAACCUGGGUAAAAAGUGACCUCUGCAUGGAAUUUGUUCUGCUUUUGCCACAGAAAGCAGCAGCCCUUUUCCUAGGGUAGGAGUCCUUGACAUAAGCAGUGCUGAAAAGUGAAUAGCUACUGGGCAGAGAAAAAGCCUCCUUUUUGGGGGGGACACGUGCCAAAGCAAAUCAACUCAGGCUCCCAGCUGCAGCAUCAUGUCCCUGCUUGCAGGGCAGUGGGAAUAUGCAAUACUCCUUUGCUUGGCCUGGUUUGGUAUCCCCUAGUCCCCCAUUCCAGCUGGGGGAAGACAGGGAGCUCCCUGCAGUACUCCAGCAAAUGAGCUGUUCUGCUGAAUAUGCACUUUUCAGCUUUCCUCACUUUUCUAACAGAGCUAUCCAUAAUUGCACCCAGCCUGGGCACACUGAGCCAUGAAGGUUGGGCCUUCCCAGGAGGCUUAACUCUCCCAGUCCUGUCUUUACACCUCAUUUUUACACACAGACUCAACAGAGGAGCCAAAAGCAAAUGUGGUUUGAGAUUAAAUUAGCUCUUGUCCAUAGAUGUUAAAAAAUGUCUUGCCUCUCAGGCUGUCCAGCGCAAGUGUGAAAUAGACACCAACUUGGAGAAGCUCAGAACUCAUAAAAGGUAUUUCUGUGCUUUAAUCUAAGCACUAAUUGCUUCCAUAUUAAAACCUCCUACGUGCUGAGGUUUUGCAUCUGGCUGGAGCACACAUUUUUUUGUUAUUGUUGUUCCUAGCUGUGGCUGUUGCUAGUUGUCUGCUCUUAUGGCCUGAGGAGUCAGUAGAUACAGAGUAGGCUUUGCAAAAGCACUUAAAACACCUGUGUAACUCCAGUUCUUGUGCUGGCCCUGCUGGCCCAGCUGCCCCACUUGCAUAUCUUGCUGAACACAAAAGGACACAGCAUGGGAGGCACAUUCUUCCCUGCACAUCCUCAUGUUUCAGGCAGGAAGCCCUUUCUCCUGAAUACAAUUUCAGCAUUGGCUACUGAUCUUUGUGAAAAAGGCUGUGUUUCCAAAAAUCAGGGGACCUGCUAUACAGGUCCCUGCGCACAUUGUCUUGCCUGCAAUUUUUCAUGGCUGACUCCUGGGCUGGGGACUAAUGCUGUCACAAAGGAAGGCAUUCCAGUUACUCUUCCUGCAUUUGGUAUUGUUUGCAUUUUAUAUUGUCUUUUCCACAGUUACAGCAUUACAGGAAUGCUGUAGGAGACGCCUGCUUUUAUUUAUCAAGCUAGUUUGAACAGGCCAUGUCUAGACCCUUUUCCUGAUUCCCAGUUUUACUGGUAGAGCCGUGACUAUUUCUAUGUCCACUUCUUCAGGACUGCUGAGUAUAUCCUUCACAAAAAAUGAGAUGCUAGCUGAAGCAGUGUUUUCUGCUGUCUUCUCUCAGAACACUUAAUGGAAAUGGUGUGGCCAGCAGAACUGGGGUGGUGAUUUUCCCCUCUGUACUUAGCUCUGGCGAGACUGCACUUCUGUGUACUGUGCUCAGUUCUAGGACCCACACUAUGAGAAGGGUCUUGAAUUGCUUGAGUGUGGGUGGAGGAGAGAGGGGAAAAAAACAGUGAAGGAACCAGAAAACCAGAGUGGCUGGGGGAACUGGUGCUGUUUGGUCUAGAGAGAAGCCUGAGGAGAGACCUCAGCUCUCUGUAAGUACCUUAAGGCAGGCUGUAGCAAGGUGGGUGUUUUCUCUUCCCCAGACCUCUAUUCUGAUCAACCAAAGAGGAAAGCAGGAUGAGACUGCUUGUGUUGUCUGUGUUCACCUGACUGUUGUGCUUGCAGUCUGUGUGACUAGCUGUGUACCUGUCUGCUGUGUGCACAUGCCAGCUGGAAACUUGAGCUGCUCCUGUGGUUGGACCUGGCAGCUUGGAACUGCAGUAGUCUUACUCCUCUUUGGCUGCCAGAUGUGGCAUGGUAUGUUUUCCUCUAAUACAGGCCAUGUUGCUAGUGCUGUUGUGUAGUUUGCAAGAUGCAAGCCCACACGAGUGCUUUUCUGGUGAUUUCAGAAGAAGACAAAGGAGUCUUGAGAAGUUUUUUUUUUUACUGUACAUCCUCAGUUUCAGAAACUUUUACACAAGCUACAGAAACCAAACCAAAGCAGUGAGCUGCAAGUUUCUUUGUCAGGCACUUGAGCAGGCCUGCUUUUCUUUAAUUUCUUUUUCCUGUGUCCAGAUGUAGGGCAAUGCUUCAGAUACUGAGGGGACCUAAUUUUUGGUCAAUAAUGUUGAAUAACUGCAAGCUCCUGGGAAUGUAAUACCCACACCAGAGAACUCCCUGCUCCUCUCCCCACUUCUACCUUCUGCUUUGGAAACAACAUGAAGGCUCCAAGAACCAGGUGAUGGUUUCUGACCUGUGAGAGCAUGUCUGCAGGAAAAGACCUACUCUCUGAGCAGCAAAGUCAGCCAAGGGCAGGCAGCUCAGCUUCCGUGCUGUAUCUCAAGAGUAAACUGGGAAAGAUGGUUGCUCACUGGCAGCGCCUGAUCUCAGGGAAAAGAACAUUUCACCUCACAGAGCAAGGUACCAGCCAUUCAGCUUGCUUGAACUAGCUGCAGCUCAAUAAUUACAUUAGACUUGUGGUGCCUUAAAUCAGAUUUAUCUCGCCCAGACCUCCCUUGAAACUGUGCCUGUCUGCCUUUUAGAUGAGUCUAAGCUCUCCUGAGUGUCAACAAGCAUCAAGGUUCUGAAUCCUGUCUUGCUCAGAUGAUGGUGAGUGCUAUCUGUUCCCCACAGUUCUCAGGUUUUCUACAAGAGACGGAGGCUUUUUGGUUCUGUAGGCCGCAGUACCUGGGAUCCGGGCCCCUCUGAUGUUACUGAUAUAUGGUAAAAGGGGAGGCUCCCGUACCACCACUGUGGUGCCCCUGGGCGUAUAGGCUCGGAGCAACAGUUCCUCUCCUGCAUAAGCUGUCACUGCCACCCAGCCUGCAGAGCAAAGUAAAAAAAACAAGAACACAGUCAGUAGGAAGAGUUGCUCAUAUCAGAACAAGGGUUCUCACACAAAGAAAUGUUAAAUUACCUGUAGAGGAAAGUUUGAUAUCUGCAACUGCCUCACUGGUACCAGUUCCUUUCAGUGUAAUGUCCUGAGGGACAAGUGGGGGGAACUCUUUCAUUCGCUCUUUCCCACCCAUUGGAACCUAACGUCAAAACAAUAAAAGAUUUAGCAGUUAGAGAUGCUUCAGUACUCCUACGUUACACUGAAGAGCAAUGCACAGAGAUAUUAAACUUUUGUUAUCCAAAUAACAAAGAGCUGGUUUGUAUAUCCUUAGAGGAGCUACUUCCAAUUUGCAAAGAGCAGAAUUGGGAUCACAUCCAGAGCAACCCAGCCCAGUGAAGCCCACAGCUCAGGAGUGAGCAAAGAUGGAGUGUGUGCUACAUGAACCAGCUGUUGGCUCAAGCCAGCUGCCUUCUUGUGGGUUACGUCACUUAUAUGUACACUCAAUGUGUGCAGGAAAGUUGCUGCCAGGACAAGGACAACUUACCCUGUCCCCAGUCUAGAUGUACUAUGCCAGUCUGUGGCAAUAGUAAAGUCAAAAUAAUAAAAAGGUAGGGAUGUAUCACCAGGUGGGACAGUCUACCAAAAGCUCAUGACAGCACCUGCUUCUCUUACCUUAAAGAACUCUUGGCCAGCGUGCUUCUCAUACAUGACAUCUGCGCUGCUCAAGGUAGUAAUGUGGACUGGCAACAGCUUAGAAGCCACAACAGAAAACCAGGCAGGUUUUUCUCCCUGAAAUAAAACAAAGUGCACAUCAUUCAUGCUAACAGAAAAGCAACCUCAAACUGCUCUCUCUUGCUCCAUUUCCUUGCUGUAUGUUGAAAACCUGUCUUUUCCCGACAUCUUGCCUCUGUCAGUGCAGAGCAGCUUCUGCAUGGAAAGCCCUUCAAGGUGAAAGUGUUUAUCAGCAUUUAAAAGCACUUACGGUUUUACAAUAUAAAAUGCUGCACACUGGUAACAAGUAUCACCACUCUCCAUCCCAAGGCAUUUUUACUUUACGCAGUGCUUUAUUAACAGAAUGAUCAUCUUGAAAGCAGUAAAAAAAAAAGGAGGUGGAAGUUACCUGGACUAUCUUUUAUUGUUUGGUCCUAUACCAAGAUGAAGCUGCUGCUACCAAAACUCCUUAUUUUGCCUACCUGUAAGUAGUCUAUGCGCCCUAAAGCUGCUAAAAACAAGACCAUUCCUGGCUUGAGAAUGAAGGUCCGUGGAAUGAUGGCUUGUGUUGGCAAAACCAGCUUUACUUCUUUCUCUGUUAGGAGAUUCAAAACCUGAAAAAUAAAUUGUACAGUCAGAUCACACUGUUUUCCAUGAUUAUUCAACUUCAGAAGAAGGAAGACUGUGCUCAGUUUCCAGUUAGAGCUCUAAGGUACCUUCACACCAGACACUAGCUAUUAGAGAGCAAAGUGGCACAAAGUGAGUUAGAGAUGAUCUUGCAGACAUCUUCUAGGUAAGUUCUGACACCAGUUAUCUUCCUAAGCUCCACCUUUUUCAGUAGGGUGGCACAGCUAAAGAAGUACAGAUUUCUCUGGGUGAUACUGGUAUAAACUUGUUUUAACAGUCCUGUACUUCUCUGCAUUAUAAAGUGUGCUGACAUACAGUUCCUUAACAGAGAUCACAGUAUGCACCAUUCAGAAAUAAAACAGCAAAAACACAGUGGACCCUGACCUCUUGAAGCACAGUGCCACAGAAUACCUACACAGUUUUCCUUUACAAUCCCUGGAGUAUCAAAACACCAGCGAGCAUCCUUCACUUCGUUGUAUGUGAACUCUUCUCUUUCCUCAUGCUUCUUAGAGAUAGGGCAUGGAUCUUCAUCUAUGCUGUAUGACAGCACGUCAGGGUCAAAAUCAACCACAGAGCUCUCCCGGCGUUUAAAUGUUCUUCCAACUCUUCCUGGAUUAAAGUGAAAGGUUUCCUGUUCAUUCAUUUAUUAACUUGCAUUUCCUCCAGUUGGACACCUGUCCCUUCCCUUGAUUAUUAGGGAUGCAUGGCUGUGAUAGAAAGGUGAUAAAAACAUUGCACGCAUGUUCAAAAGCCAAGAUGCUAACAGAUCCUUCCUAUAAGGGAUCUAUAGAACUCCUUAAGCCCCAAAACUUUAGCAAGGACCAUAUAUAGACAGCAUGUUCCUCUCACAAUUAAAUGAAAGCGAGUUCUUACAGAGUGGGUAGAAAUUGCUUGCCAAAAUGAGAUGCAUUCUUCAGAAAACUAGGGGGUUAACAGUCCUUGUGUAAUGCAGCAUUUCAACCAGGACAUUCCAUCACCUUUUACUCAGACAAUACUCACCCACUAAGUAACCUUGCUUUUUAAGGCGAUUGAGGUGCUUUUUUUCUUCAUCGCUUAGCUGGUCUUCUGUUUUUAGUGCCUCUUCUUUCAGCCUCUCCUGCCUUCUGAAUAUCCUGUCACACGUUGGGUUAAUAAUUGGAAAUUUCAACAAGUUCAGCGUUGUUCCUGGAAGAAAAAAAAAAAAAAAGAUGACACAUCCAGACCUCUGGGUACGGGUCAUAUUUAAACUCUGAGGAACAGAAAUAAAAAAAUAGGUGGAACUAUGUAACAAAAAGUUGGAACUAAGUGUCAACAUCUGCUCCACUUAAAGUCUCCCUCCCAGCCGGAGUGGCUGAAGUGUGCUACCACCCACUAGGUAUCUGCUUUCUUGCUGAAAGGCUUCUCAAAGGAACAGCCUCAUGCUAAUUAAAAUCAUGCUAAUGCUGGCACAUGGGUCAUCUGAGCUGAUUCUGCACAACUGCCCAGUACAUUUUUGGAAGGUCUGUCUAACACCUGAGCAGCAAAGUCUUGCGACCCUAGGGCACAUUUCUAUGAAUAUAAGGGACUGGAAUAAAACCAGCAGCAUUUGGGUGAAAAAGAUGAUUAAAAAUCAUAUUUUACUGUAUAUAUUGGAACAUUGUAUUACAAUGAGCAAACAAGGGGAUUUACUGACCAACAUGAUGCUGACAACUCUAUUUGAUCGGGACUGAACAUCGAAAUUGCUACUGUAAGAGCAGCGGGCUUCACAAUCUAUGGCACUUAAGACCAACCUAAGACACCUCAACAAAGUCCCUGGUUUUGCUGUGAUUGCUCUACAAGGAGCUCAUGAGUCCACCUCUUGUUAUAGAAUCAAAGAAUAGUUAUAGUUAAAAAAGACCUCUUCCAUCCAAUCCAACCUCAGCCCAUCCUCACCAUAUCUACUAACCACUUCCUUCUCUAUCACAUCUCCACACUUUUUCAACACCUCCUGGGACUCCACCACCUCCCUGGGCAGC